CACAGCUCUAACACCAACAGAGAGCUACGAAUAAACCAAGCAGCUGUGAAGUCGAAGCUACAGUGGCAGGGCCUGGUGGCAUAUGCUGACGAGUAGGUGGUCCGUUCGGUGAUCUUCCUCAACACGUAGUAUGACUUCAGUGCACAUGACACAGUAUAUGCCCCCCUGGAGACCGACAACUGAACAACAGUUCCACAAGCAUGAGCACACUUGAAUUCAGGUGAGAGUGUGACCACUCCCAUUCCUGUCACGUAGAAAGAAGAAAACUCCCGUUUCGUACAGAAAUUCCAUGAGAAGCAAACUGGCGCCACGUCGUAUUAUUUGUAUUCUUCGUUCUACGAAUCAACAAAACCAGAUCACGACUCGGACACGAUUCACAUGGAGCACCUAUCUCACGCUUUUUCGACGUGGUAGCCAGGUUGCCUCUCUUCCUCAUCACUUAUUUAAGACGCCCGUCUGGGUUAAAAAAUCGUGACCGAACAAUGACCGGCGGUAUGUAAGGCCUUCCACAGCGUAGCCGGUGCCAAAUACAUCAAAAGGCAGCCACCUCAUCACCGGUGCCCAAAAUUGCUUUUCAGGCAUCGAUCUCACAACGUAGGGCUUCGGCAGGAAAAAGAUUUUGGGACCCAUAUGAUAAACAAGUACACCACGCUGCUGUGUAUUGAGCAAAGAGAGAAGACAUUUGCUGUUCAAAGUUGAGAGUUAAUAGUAUUUUAUUGGCUGGAGGAAUUGGGCAUCGUGUUCUUACUUGCUCCGAUGCCAUGAAAAUUUUGUUGGGGCACCGGCCUCACAACAUGAGGGCACCGGCUAUCGGAGCCAGAAGUUAAUUUGGCACCUCUUUUGGCCUACAUAAUGGAAGGUCUAAGAGGUGGGUUUGAGAGAUCGGUUGUAGAUGCUCUUAAUAAGCUAGUACUAGAAGAAGAACAUGUAUAGGGGAGGAAGGGGACAUAAGUGAAUCCCGAACGGAAGCACGUACCUGCGGGUGAUGGCCGAGUCGAGAAACACGGUCGACGUUCGUGAUCGAGUUGGCGCCGUGCCGGAGCUAAUUCAAGGGAAUGCCGCCGCCUUCCAACCGGAGACGAGACUGUAUUAUGUGGCUGACAACCUGCGUAGCUUUCAAACAUGGUGGCUCCUUUUGGAAAAGGCUCGGAGUGGAGACCCCAACCGUGUCACUCGUGUCAUACAUAUGCACCUUACAAAGGGCUGCAAGCUUUACUACACAGAUGUGUUGGGUGUACAUUUGGUUUUAACAAAUUUGAGACCUUAUCUUUUUUUGUUGGGUUUGCAGCUUUUAUGUCAUUUUAAAUACAUAUGUGUAUGCUGUCAAUACACUAUAGAUUAACAUACACUAGUGUCAAAAACGCUUUUAUAUUAUAAAACGGAGGGAGUAGUCUGAUUUUCUCAACACGUAAUUUUUUUUAAACGGAGGCAAAAGAUUUGGCUCAUUCAUUAAUUAAGCAGAAAAGAACUGCCCAGUUAAUUAAUGAAAAACCAGGCGAAAAUCAUCACAAACUACUGAGUGACACCAAUGAAAGACCUACACGCGCCACUCACAAGAGGGCCUCGUCAAGACUGCACGUCGACAUCAUCGCCAUCACUUCUCCCCUAGAGGCAUCAUUGCCAUCUCAAACUAUGAGAAACGACUCCAACUUCACCUCAAGAGGGCCUCGUCAAGACCGCACCUCGAGCGUCAUCACCAUCACUUCUCCCCUAGAGGUGUCAUCGCCAUCCCAAACUCUGAAAAACAACUCUGACUUCGCCAAAGGCGAUCAUCAAACCAACCCACCCUGAAUAGGCCGUGCGGAAUCACAUGAAGAUCCACAUCGGACCUCAGCCACUACAACAAGAAAGCACAGCUCUAACACCAACAGAGAGCUACGAAUGAACCAAGCAGCUGUGAAGUCGAAGCUACAGUGGCAGGGCCCGGUGGCAUAUGCUGACGAGUAGGUGGUCCGUUCGGUGAUCUUCCUCAACACGUAGUAUGACUUCAGUGCACACGACACAGUAUAUGCCCCCAUGGAGACCGACAACAGAACAACAGUUCCACAAGCAUGAGCACACUUGAAUUCAGGUGAGAGUGUGACCACUCCCAUUCCUGUCACGUAGAAAGAAGAAAACUCCCGUUUCGUACAGAAAUUCCAUGAGAAGCAAAAUGGCGUCACGUCGUAUUAUUUGUAUUCUUCGUUCUACGAAUCAGCAAAACCAGAUCACGACUCGGACACGAUUCACAUGGAGCACCUAUCUCACGCUUUUUCGACGCUGUAGCCAGGCUGCCUCUCUUCCUCAUCACUUAUUUAAGACGCCUGUCUGGGUUAAAAAAUCGUGACCGAACAAUGACCGGCGGUAUGUAAGGCCUUCCACAGCGUAGCCGGUGCCAAAUACAUCAAAAGGCAGCCACCUCAUCACCGGUGCCCAAAAUUGCUUUUCAGGCAUCGAUCUCACAACGUAGGGCUUCGGCAGGAAAAAGAUUUUGGGACCCAUAUGAUAAACAAGUACACCACGCUGCUGUGUAUUGAGCAAAGAGAGAGAAGACAUUCGCUGUUCAAAGUUGAGAGUUAAUAGUAUUUUAUUGGCUGGAGGAAUUGGGCAUCGUGUUCUUACUUGCUCCGAUGCCAUGAAAAUUUUGUUGGGGCACCGGCCUCACAACGUGAGGGCACCGGCUAUCGGAGCCAGAAGUUAAUUUGGCACCUCUUUUGGCCUACAUAAUGGAAGGUCUAAGAGGUGGGUUUGAGAGAUCGGUUGUAGAUGCUCUUAAUAAGCUAGUACUAGAAGAAGAACAUGUAUAGGGGAGGAAGGGGACAUAAGUGAAUCCCGAACGAAAGCACGUACCUGCGGGUGAUGGCCGAGUCAAGAAACACGGUCGACGUUCGUGAUCGAGUUGGCGCCGUGCCGGAGCUAAUUCAAGGGAAUGCCGCCGCCUUCCAACCGGAGACGAGACUGUAUUAUGUGGCUGACAACCUGCGCAGCUUUCAAACAUGGUGGCUCCUUUUGGAAAAGGCUCGGAGUGGAGACCCCAACCGUGUCACUCGUGUCAUACAUAUGCACCUUACAAAGGGCUGCGAGCUUUACUACACAGAUGUGUUGGGUGUUCAUUUGGUUUUAACAAAUUUGAGACCUUAUCUUUUUUUUGUUGGGUUUGCAGCUUUUAUGUCAUUUUAAAUACAUAUGUGUAUGCUGUCAAUACACUAUAGAUUAACAUACACUAGUGUCAAAAACGCUUUUAUAUUAUAAAACGGAGGGAGUAGUCUGAUUUUCUCAACACGUAAGGGCUUCUUUGAUUCAAAGGAAUUGCAUAGGAUUUUUGGAGGAUUUGAAUCCUUAGGAAUUUUUCCUGUGAUGCUCGUUUGAUUCGUAGGAUUGGCAUCCUUAGGAAUUUUUCCAUAGGAUCCAUUUGUACUACAUUUUGGAGGAAAAUUUGCAUCCACUGAAACCUCUUUGUAGGAUUCCUUUGUUUUUCCUGCGCUAUCAAACAUUCUUUGAGAUCCUGUAGGAUACUAUGGGACAUGUCAUCCUAUUCCUGCAUUUUUCCUAUUCCUUCAUUUUGACAAUCCUGCGAAUCAAAGAGGCCCUAAAUUUUUUUUUAAACGGAGGCAAAAGAUUUGGCUCAUUCAUUAAUUAAGCAGAAAAGAACUGCCCAGUUAAUUAAUGAAAAACCAGGCGAAAAUCAUCACAAACUACUGAGUGACACCAAUGAAAGACCUACACGCGCCACUCACAAGAGGGCCUCGUCAAGACUGCACGUCGACAUCAUCGCCAUCACUUCUCCCCUAGAGGCAUCAUUGCCAUCCCAAACUAUGAGAAACGACUCCAACUUCACCUCAAGAGGGCCUCGUCAAGACCGCACCUCGAGCGUCAUCACCAUCAUUUCUCCCCUAGAGGUGUCAUCGCCAUCCCAAACUCUGAAAAACAACUCUGACUUCGCCAAAGGCGAUCAUCAAACCAACCCACCCUGAAUAGGCCGUGCGGAAUCACAUGAAGAUCCACAUCGGACCUCAGCCACUACAACAAGAAAGCACAGCUCUAACACCAACAGAGAGCUACGAAUGAACCAAGCAGCUGUGAAGUCGAAGCUACAGUGGCAGGGCCCGGUGGCAUAUGCUGACGAGUAGGUGGUCCGUUCGGUGAUCUUCCUCAACACGUAGUAUGACUUCAGUGCACACGACACAGUAUAUGCCCCCCUGGAGACCGACAACAGAACAACAGUUCCACAAGCAUGAGCACACUUGAAUUCAGGUGAGAGUGUGACCACUCCCAUUCCUGUCACGUAGAAAGAAGAAAACUCCCGUUUCGUACAGAAAUUCCAUGAGAAGCAAAAUGGCGCCACGUCGUAUUAUUUGUAUUCUUUGUUCUACGAAUCAGCAAAACCAGAUCACGACUCGGACACGAUUCACAUGGAGCACCUAUCUCACGCUUUUUCGACGCGGUAGCCAGGCUGCCUCUCUUCCUCAUCACUUAUUUAAGACGCC
rnacentral:lncRNA from 1 species